AGUGCUCGCAAGAGAGCCGGAACACAGGUGCUGCAUGGCUGUCGUCAGCUCGUGUCGUGAGAUGUUGGGUUAAGUCCCGCAACGAGCGCAACCCUUGUCAUUAGUUGCCAUCAUUUGGUUUGGGGCACUCUAAUGAGACUGCCGGUGACAAACCGGAAGGAAGGGUGGGGAGUGACGUCAAGUCCUCAUGGCCCUUAUGGGUAGGGCUUCACACGUCAUACAAUGGUCGGUACAGAGGGUUGCCAACCCGCGAGGGGAGGCUAAUCCCACAAAGCCGAUCGUAGUCCGGAUCGCAGUCUGCAACUCGACUGCGUGAAGUCGGAAUCGCUAGUAAUCGUGGAUCAGCAUGUCACGGUGAAUACGUUCCCGGGUCUU
rnacentral:rRNA from 1 species